GCCGACUGGUGUAGUGGUUAGUGCAUGACCCUGACUGCUAAGCAGAAGGUCCUGGGUUCGAUUCCCGGCUGGGGCA
rnacentral:tRNA from 1 species